AUUGAACGCUGGCGGCAUGCCUUACACAUGCAAGUCGAACGGCAGCAUGGAGAGCUUGCUCUCUGAUGGCGAGUGGCGAACGGGUGAGUAAAGCAUCGGAACGUACCGUGUAGUGGGGGAUAACGUAGCGAAAGUUACGCUAAUACCGCAUACGCACUGAGGUGGAAAGCAGGGGAUCGUAAGACCUUGCGCUAUACGAGCGGCCGAUGUCAGAUUAGCUAGUUGGUAGGGUAAAGGCCUACCAAGGCGACGAUCUGUAGCGGGUCUGAGAGGAUGAUCCGCCACACUGGGACUGAGACACGGCCCAGACUCCUACGGGAGGCAGCAGUGGGGAAUUUUGGACAAUGGGGGCAACCCUGAUCCAGCCAUGCCGCGUGAGUGAAGAAGGCCUUCGGGUUGUAAAGCUCUUUCGGCCGGGAAGAAAUCGCACAGGCUAAUACCCUGUGUGGACGACGGUACCGGAAGAAGAAGCCCCGGCUAACUUCGUGCCAGCCGCCGCGGUAA
rnacentral:rRNA from 1 species